ensembl:lncRNA novel transcript
CUUCGGCGCUCGCUGAUUGGCCAUCCGUGCAGGCAGGUGCGGUCUGGCACCUCGGGAUCCCAACGGGUGGCCGCCUGCGUGGCUGCCUGCCUCACCUCAGGAGAGACCCUGCUGAUAUCCCACAGUCAGAAAGUGGGAACUACAAUAUCUUUAAUACCAUCCUCAGAGACCCUCAUAAGCAGAAGAGAAGUAUGAGAAAGCUCACAAGGUCCACAGCAAUAUCUUCAUCGCGCCAGAAUGUCAGGGGCUUUAGCACAACAGAAAUCAAUAGUUUCUAGUACAUUUUUUGGUACAAUUUUUUUUUAAUGACCUAACCUGAGAAAGUACAGGGAAGGCAGAGGUACAGAACAGUAGGAAACAAAACCUCCUUAACCGAAGGCCUAUUUAGACAUGUCAUGCAACGUCAGUUUAGGAGAGACGCGUUCUUUAUCUGAGCCACACAACCGGGCAGCUGGAGCGAGGUCUUGGUCCUGGAGUGCUUUCGGUCAUAGCCAAAUAUAAGUCUUAACGUUACAUCUGCAAUGGAAAAACAAGUCAAACUCAGCAAAAAGGAGCCCUGAAGAGACAGAGUUAAGUGCUUCCGUGAUGAGAGUAGAGUUGGCCUAUGCUGUCCCUCCCAGGACUCCUUUACCCAAGAGAAAGAGAGAGUGUGCAUCCAAAGGGGAGUGAAAAUAGAAUAUAAAUAGGGAAAAUAGAACCAUUCAGAGCAGUUCAGGGAUCUUUACUACUCUGACAUGGAAGGAAGAAGGAGGAGAAGAGAAAAGAUGAACGGACCUUGAACCUGGGAUAUCGCUCAUGUGACUGCUACAUUGGUAUUAAGAUACAGCAUUCAUGUGCCCUGGAAUGUUUUGUUCUAUUAGGUGCUACACCCAGUAGAACAGUGCUCCAUCCAAUGCAAUUUUCUGGAAUUUAAACAAUCCAGACCAGAAUUUUUCCUCCUUGGAGAUGGAAUGUCUUGCUCCAGAGGGAGGAGGAAGAAGAGAAAAGAGAAGUCUCAACCAGCCUCCUCUCUACCCCACACAGAGAAUAGAGAUGCAAAACUUCUCCCAUAGAGUGUUUCAGCUUCUUCCUCGUUCCUCUUGCUUCUUUUCUCUUGGGAUAAUGACUUGGGUUUGGCCAGUAUGUAAAGUUGACUUGUGGUACCUCUGGCUCUUCUCCAGGGGUGCUCACAGAAAUAACUACAGUGGACUAGAAUGAGAUGCUUGAAACCUUCCCCCGAGCCUAGCUCUGCAUUUAGGAGAACAGCACAGCGCACCAUGAUCUGAUAUAGGUAUAGGUGGGUGGGAGUCUCAGUCUGUAGUUCUAUAUCACCUAUUAAGAGACUGGAACCUGGUCCCAUGUUUUCUGCAGGAGGUUGAGCUCUUAACAAUGUGCCAAGCCAGCAGCUGUGCCCUAGAGUCUUGGCCUAAGACAAGCAAAUAAUUGUCAGAUGACUGAAUAGUUCUGUUUCCUUAUUAAAUCUUAGGUUUAGAAUUCCUUUCACAAUUAAAAAGAUUUGGACAACAACU